rnacentral:misc_RNA from 1 species
GCCAUAUCAUUUAAAGCAAUGUUUUGCAUACUGUGCAAUGUUUCCUAAGGAUUAUGAGUUUGAUAAGGAGACGUUAAUUCAAUUAUGGAUGGCACAAGGUUAUGUUCAAUGUUGGAGUCAAAGUGGAAAUGAAAGUUUAGAGGAGAUUGGCGAUGGAUACUUCAAUGAAUUAUUAUUUAAGUCAUUUUUUCAAAAGGAUGGGUAUUGUUAUAAAAUGCAUGAUCU